rnacentral:lncRNA from 1 species
AUCUCCUCUUUUGCCUUGGACCUGCUUGCAUGGGGAAUUGUGACAGAUUACUGGGCCCAUCACCUAGUAGAUGUUACUGUCUAUUUUUUACCUGGAUCCUGCCUACAGAAAGGAUUGUGACAAAUCAGUGGGCCAAGCAUCCCGGUGACGUGGCUCUUCUGUCUUAGCAAUUCCUAUAGUUGGAAUAGUGACAUAAACCUGGGUCAAGCAUCUGGGGUAAUUUGUGACAUACUGCUGGACCCAGCACCCAGGUCAUUUGACUCUCCUGCCUUGGCCCUUCCCACAGAGGGCAUUGUGACAUUGAGUGGGCUCAGCAGCUAGGUGAUACGACUUUCCUGCCAGGACUCUUCCAACAGAAGGGACAUUGACCUACUCAGGCUCAGUAUUCAGGCCCUGGCUGAGUAUUCAGGUGAUGUGACUCUCCUGCCUGGUUCUGCCCACAGGCGUAUGUGGAUCUGGCCACAGAUGGGAUGGUGACUCAUUUCUGGACCCCACUCACAGGCACAGUGAUAAAUCUCAUUCCUGGACACAGAAAAUAGGAGAGAUGUUGACUCUGGGCUUAAAGUAAUAGGCAAUAGAUGAAAAAAGAUUCAAGGAAGACACAUUUGCUUUUUAUUCACUCAUCACUUCCCAUCACUAUGCUGACCAGAGUCAAUGU